GGGAGGAUACCGAAGUGGCCAAACGGGCCUGACUGUAAAUCAGGUGGCUCAGCCUUCAGAGGUUCGAACCCUCUUCCUCCCACGA
rnacentral:tRNA from 1 species